GCAGCUGAGACGAACGCAAGCCGCGAUUGUCUGCGCAGAUCUCCACGAAGGGCCCUGUUCCCGCGGACGCGCCGUUCAGCAGCACCGCAAAUGAUCCCAGCUUUGAUUACCACGUGGAUCCCUUAACGAGCGGCUGGUUGCCAGAGCCACGCUUAUAAAUCAAAGCAGAAGGUUCUCUAAUAACGGAGGAAACCCAGGAGCACAGGACUGUGCUACCAGCACACCAUGGAGUAGUGUGGAGUAGUCCUAUAUCCAGAUUUUCCUUUUUUCAUCCUUUUUCUGGAGUCCUGCACUUUUUCUGAGUUCUUUCUGAUCAGGUGUCAGGUAACAGAAACAUUUUCUUAGGGUUUCUUUCAUUGGCAUAGUAUAUUGAUCCUAAUAUACUAUGGCUUGUGGAGGGGAAAAUACAUGAAAAAAAAUGUACUACACCAAAUAAAUAUUACACCAAUCAC